rnacentral:rRNA from 1 species
GACGUAGGGUGCAAGCGUUGUCCGGAAUUAUUGGGCGUAAAGAGCUCGUAGGCGGCUUGUCGCGUCAACUGUGAAAACCCGUGGCUCAACCAUGUGGUCUGCAGUCGAUACGGGCAGGCUAGAAUUCGGUAGGGGAGACUGGAAUUCCUGGUGUAGCGGUGAAAUGCGCAGAUAUCAGGAGGAACACCGGUGGCGAAGGCGGGUCUCUGGGCCGAUAUUGACGCUGAGGAGCGAAAGCGUGGGGAGCGAACAGG